GCACAAGCACUCCUUUGCCUAGGAAGACGCAGGCUUCAGUUCUUCCAUUGCUCGGUGCUUCAACCUCAACCGGUCUCCAGCUUACACUCCUCAAGACUGGAAAACCAAAGAACUUCUGAGGAUGGAACUCUUCUCUGGAUGGAAAAUCCUCUCUGGACUCAAGCUGAUUUCAUGGAGGCCAAAGUAACACAUAACACAAGUUUAAUCAGGGAUUUCUGCUUAGAAAGAAGAACCACACAAGCACCUGCACAUCCAUCAAAGAAUCCCAGAGUGGGUAAUGAUAAUUAUUAUGUUUAUUAUUUUACUUGUAAAACAGUAAAAUUCAGGCUGUGUUAAGCUCUGUAUAAUAACAUUUAUCCUUACUACAACUCUACAAAGCUAUUGUUGCAAGAAUAAAAUUUGCUUAUUUAUUC
rnacentral:lncRNA from 1 species